GGAAGGUGCAAGCGUUAAUCGGAAUUACUGGGGCGUAAAGCGCGCGUAGGCGGCUAGAUAAGUCGGGUGUGAAAGCCCUGGGCUCAACCUGGGGAACUGCAUUCGAUACUGUCUAGCUAGAGUGUGGUAGAGGGAGGCGGAAUUCCGCAUGUAGCGGUGAAAUGCGUAGAGAUGCGGAGGAACACCAAUGGCGAAGGCAGCCUUCUGGACCAACACUGACGCUGAGGCGCGAAAGCGUGGGGAGCAAACAGGAUUAGAUACCCUGGUAGUCCACGCCGUAAACGAUGUCAACUAGCCGUUGGGAGCAAUUUGGCUCUUGGUGGCGCAGCUAACGCGAUAAGUUGACCGCCUGGGGAGUACGGUCGCAAGAUUA
rnacentral:rRNA from 1 species